CCCCGCCUGUUUACCAAAAACAUCACCUCCAGCAUAACUAGUAUUGGAGGCACUGCCUGCCCAGUGACAACCGUUAAACGGCCGCGGUAUCCUGACCGUGCAAAGGUAGCAUAAUCACUUGUUCUCUAAAUAGGGACUUGUAUGAAUGGCCACACGAGGGUUUUACUGUCUCUUACUUCCAAUCAGUGAAAUUGACCUUCCCGUGAAGAGGCGGGAAUAUAUUAAUAAGACGAGAAGACCCUAUGGAGCUUUAACUACUUAGCCCAAAGAAACAAAUUUCAUUACUAAGGGAACAACAACACUCUUUAUGGGCUAACAGCUUUGGUUGGGGUGACCUCGGAGAACAAGAAAUCCUCCGAGCGAUUUUAAAGACUAGACCUACAAGUCGAAUCACACAAUCGUUUAUUGAUCCAAAAAAUUGAUCAACGGAACAAGUUACCCUAGGGAUAACAGCGCAAUCCUAUUCAAGAGUCCAUAUCGACAAUAGGGUUUACGACCUCGAUGUUGGAUCAGGACAUCCCGAUGGUGCAACCGCUAUCAAAGGUUCGUUUGUUCAACGAUUAAAGUCCUACGUGAUCUGAGUUCA
rnacentral:rRNA from 1 species